UUGGAUCGUUUUUCUUCUCUCUAACGAGUCGCGACGAGGCCGAUGCCGCCCGAGCCCACCCCCACCCCUCUGCUCCUGUGUCGCUGCUUGUCAGAGCCGUGCGCUUUCGCCUCCCACUCUGGAGCAUCCUCUCCGCGCGUGCGACUCUCUUUCCGUCUCCCUCGCCAGUGGCAGUGUUUGACGAGGGGAGGCGCCGUGCACUGCUUCUCUCUGCAUGCGGCGUGGCAGAUCGGGAUGGGGAUGGGUGCUGAGGUAGUGGCGGCGUCCGUUCCCGCGAUCGCUUUGAUUUGGUAUUGCAGCCGUGGCCCUGGCGCACGCACGCGCGCUUGCACAGGCACCCGCACCGCCCCCUCCACACGCGGAGGCGUUUUCUUUGCGUUUCGUUGUGUGCCGGCGUGUGGACGUGUGCAUGGGCGCACGGCGGCGCCGUCAACGG
rnacentral:misc_RNA from 1 species